rnacentral:rRNA from 1 species
AUGCGCGGCUACCUGCAAGUCGAACGGCAACAGGAGAAAGCUUGCUCUCUGGCUGACGAGUGGCGGACGGGUGAGGAUGCCUGGGAAUCUGCCUGGUGGAGGGGGAUAACUACUGGAAACUUACGCUAAUACCGCAUACCGCCUACAGACCAAAGAGGGGGACCUUCGGACCUCUUGCCAUCGGAUGAGCCCAUAUGGGAUUAGCUAGUUGGUGGGGUAACGGCUCACCUAGGCGACGAUCCCUAGCUGGUCUGAGAGGAUGACCAGCCACACUGGAACUGAGACACGGUCCAGACUCCUACGGGAGGCAGCAGUGGGGAAUAUUGCACAAUGGGCGCAAGCCUGAUGCAGCCAUGCCGCGUGUAUGAAGAAGGCCUUCGGGUUGUAAAGUACUUUCGUUGGGAAGGAAGGCAGUACAGUUAAUACCUGUGCUCAUUGACGUUACCCGCAGAAUAAGCACCGGCUAACUCCGUGCCAGCAGCCGCGGUAAUACGAAGGGUGCAAGCGUUACUCGGAAUUACUGGGCGUAAAGCGCGCGCAGGCGGUUUGUUAAGUCCGAUGUGAAAUCCCCGGGCUCAACCUGGGAACUGCAUCUGAUACUGGCAAGAUUGAAUCUCGUAGAGGGGGGUAGAAUUCCAUGGGGUAGCGGUGAAAUGCGUAGAGAUCUGGAGGAAUACUGCAUGGCGAAGGCGGCCCCCUGGACCAACACUGACGCUCAGGUGCGAAAGCGUGGGGGAGCAAACAGGAUUAGAUACCCUGGUAGUCCACGCCGUAAACGAUGUCGACUUGGAGGUUGUGCGCUUGAGGCGCGGCUUCCGGAGCUAACGCGUUAAGUCUACCCCCCUGGGGGAGAACCGGCCCCAAGGAUUGAACUCUCAUGGAAUUUGCGGGGGGCCCCCCCAAACGGGGGGAACA